UUAAAUUGGUAAGUAGAGAAUAAAACGCAUAUAUACACUUUUCUUAAUUACCUUACAAGUUUUAUUGUAAUGUUAUUUGAAAGGUAUAAUAGCAAAUUUCCCGUUUGUCUCCCGCAGCGGCACUAGCAGACAGGCGGUCAUCGUGAAGCAGGCGGGAAGAGAGCCUUGUCAUAAAGACUCAUUGAAGUAUGCUGUGCCAGUAGCCUUUGACCUGCAUUAUAUGAAUCACCAAGGACCACAGUUUCAGCUAAAAAUCUUCUUUAGUGUUGAACUGAAGAAGAAAAGUCACCUACAUUUGGAUGGCUUGAGGAUGUUCGAUGAUCGCAGCCAUGAUCCUUG